rnacentral:rRNA from 1 species
UACGAAAGGAGCAGGUGUUAUUCAGAUUAACUGGGCGUAAAGCGCACGUAGGCGGAUCUUUAAGUCAGGGGUGAAAUCCCAAGGCUCAACCUUGGAACUGCCUUUGAUACUGGGGGAUCUCGAGUCCGGAAGAGGUGAGUGGAACUGCGAGUGUAGAGGUGAAAUUCGUAGAUAUUCGCAAGAACACCAGUGGCGAAGGCGGCUCACUGGUCCGGUACUGACGCUGAGGUGCGAAAGCGUGGGGAGCAAACAGGG